GACGAACGCUGGCGGCGUGCUUAACACAUGCAAGUCGAGCGAUGAAACACCUUCGGGUGCGGAUUAGCGGCGAACGGGUGAGGAACACGUGAGGAAUCUGCCUUCCACUCUGGGAUAACUCCGGGAAACCGGGGCUAAUACCGGAUACUUUCAACUGGCGGCAUCGCCGGUUGAAGAAAGUUUUUCGGUGGAAGAUGACCUCGCGGCCUAUCAGCUUGUUGGUGAGGUAAAGGCUCACCAAGGCGACGACGGGUAGCCGGCCUGAGAGGGCGACCGGCCACACUGGGACUGAGACACGGCCCAGACUCCUACGGGAGGCAGCAGUGGGGAAUAUUGGGCAAUGGAGGAAACCCUGACCCGGCGACGCCGCGUGAGGGAUGAAGGCCUUCGGGUUGUAAACCUCUUUCAGCAGGGAAUAAGCGAAAGUGAAGGUACCUGCAGAAGAAGCACCGGCUAACUAUGUGCCAGCAGCCGCCGUAA
rnacentral:rRNA from 1 species